rnacentral:rRNA from 1 species
UGCAGUCGAACGAACUGGUCAAUUUAUUGAGCAGUUAGUGGCGAAAGGGUGAGUAAUGGAUAGGUAACGUACCCUGUGCUUCGGAACAGCGUCGUUCGCCUUCGGGCGAACUACCGAAAGGGGCGGUAAUACCGAAUAAUACCAUGAGCUGUCUGGUUCAUGGUCAAAGAUUUAUCGGCAGAGGAGCGACCUAUCUCCUAUCAGCUUGUUGGUGAGGUAACGGCUCACCAAGGCUAUGACGGGUAGCGGGACUGAGAGGUUGUUCCGUCACAUCGGGACUGAGACACUGCCCGGACCUCCACGGAGGGCUGCAGUAACGAAUAUUGCGCAAUGGGCUAAAGCCUGACGCAGCGACGCCGCGUGCGGGAGGAAGUCCCUCGGGAUGUAAACCGCUGUCAGGGAUAAGAAAGUGCACUUCGGUGCAUUGAUCUAACCCAAAGGAAGUCACGGCUAACUUCGUGCCAGCAGCCGCGGUAAGACGAAGGUGGCUAGCGUUGUUCGGUGUCACUGGGCUUAAAGAGUGUGUAGGCGGAAAGGUAAGCGUCUUGUGAAAGCCCCGGGCUUAACCCGGGAAUUGCUUGGCAUACUGCCU